rfam:Loxodonta africana unplaced genomic scaffold scaffold_12, whole genome shotgun sequence.
UCAUUGGUGGUUCAGUGGGAGAGUUCUUGCCUUCCAUGCAGGAGACCCGGGUUUGAUUCCUGGCCAAUGCA